rnacentral:tRNA from 1 species
GGGAAGGUAGCUGAGUUGUAUAGUGCUUGCCUUGAAUGCAUGAGGCUCUGGGUUCAAUUUCUCAGCACCA